CCUACGGGAGGCAGCAGUGAGGAAUAUUGGUCAAUGGCCGGAAGGCUGAACCAGCCAAGUCGCGUGAGGGACGACUGCCCUAUGGGUUGUAAACCUCUUUUAUAAGGGAAGAAUAAAUGCUACGUGUAGCAUGAUGCCUGUACCUUAUGAAUAAGCAUCGGCUAACUCCGUGCCAGCAGCCGCGGUAAUACGGAGGCUGCGAGCGUUAUCCGGAUUUCUUGGGUUUAAGGGGUGCGUAGGCGGUUUUUUAAGUUAGUGUUUAAACGUCGGGGCUUCACCUUGAUUUGCCAUUAAUACUGUAAGACUCGAGUUCAGACGAGGUAGGCGGAAUAAGUUAAGUAGCGGUGAAAUGCUUAGAUAUAACUUAGAACUCCGAUAGCGAAGGCAGCUUACCAGACUGCGACUGACGCUGAAGCACGAGAGCGUGGGUAGCGAACAGGAUUAGAUACCCCAGUAGUC
rnacentral:rRNA from 1 species